AUGAUCUUCAAGUGUGUACGGUUGCACACACCAUGUGUAUGGCCGCACACAUCAAGUGUAACCGCACAUACACUUUUAAGGGUCCAAAAUACCAACAAACUUCCAUUCCGACUAAGCAAUGGUGAAAACACCUUCCCUAGAACAUUCCUAAGGCUUGGAAAUAUGUUUUGGCACACUUCAUAGGGAGUGUGUGUCCGCACACACACCCUUGCAGCACACACACUAAACCUUUGGUUUUGUGUCCUUACACUUCAAUAUACGACCAUACACCCCUUAUGUGCAACCAUAUGUGUUGGUAACACUUAUUUGUAAGUGUUUUUAUGUCCCUAAGGCAUGUCCCUAUCACCAUUAGUGGUUAUAUACAUUAAAUGUAUUCAUAUAUGUGUAAUUAUAUGUAAAUAGGAUUCGUUUGUGCUCAAGACUCCAAUUGACACCCAACAAUCCUAUAUCGAUCUUUCAUUCGAGAUACUCACAACAGGUGAGUUCAUACUCUAUAAUUAACCUUUUAAAUAUUUUUAAUUGCUUUUAUGGGGGGGGGGGCGAAUACAAGUUGAAUCAUGAUAGUUAUUAUAUCAAUCACAUGUGAUUUAUAACUAUCAAACUAUAGAUGUACUACACUUUUAGCUAUUUUACCAAGCAUACUACUUCAAAUGACUUUCUCAAACGUUUUUACAUGUUAAACUAUUUAUCAAACUAUCUUACAUAUUGUAUAUUUCCUUUCAAACUCUGUUACAAUUGUGUUUCAAACAAACGAUUUCUUAUACUUUAAACUGUUCUUAUAAAACAGACUGUUUUCAAAUCAUUUUCACAUGAUCUUCAAGUGUGUACGGUUGCACACACCAUGUGUAUGGCCGCACACAUCAAGUGUAACCGCACAUACACUUUUAAGUGUCCAAAAUACCAACAAACUUCCAUUCCGACUAAGCAAUGGUGAAAACACCUUCCCUAGAACAUUCCUAAGGCUUGGAAAUAUGUUUUGGCUCACUUCAUAGGGAGUGUGCGUCCGCACACACACCCUUGCAGCACACACUAAACCUUUGGUUUUGUGUCCUUACACUUCAAUAUACGACCAUACACCCCUUAUGUGCAACCAUAUGUGUUGGUAACAC
rnacentral:lncRNA from 1 species